AAUUAUCGUUCUUUCUUUUGCUUAUUAAAUUUCUACUUGCUUUAUGUAGACUUUUUACAGUCAGUUAUACUUUCGGUUAUAUCCAAUAUAUACCGGAGUGAGUAUGUUGAAUCGAGUAUGCAGAGAAGUAAGGUAUAUUGCACGGCGACGCUAUUAAUUGACGUAACUUACGCUUAUAAGAUAUCAUGAGUUUCAGGAUAUUAUGAAGUAGCAUGAUUUAAUGCCUGAAGUAGAGCACGAACGAGUUACCUCACGCUGUGCUCACCAUGCCGACGCAGGAAGCGGAGCGAACACGAAGAAAAGGGUGAUACAGAGUCAAACAAGAAGAAGAAAGAGGGGAGUGCGGGGGCGAAUGGUGCUAAAUGAGACCUGGUAACUGAUGUAUGUACGGUAUUCCAAAAUAACAGCGAAAGAAAGCAUUUGCAGAUCCGUGUUCAUAUGAAAGAUCCUCGUUCCUUUGGUAUGCAGAAAACGUGCACUCGAGGUUCCGCUGGACCCUUUUAAAGUCAACGCACAAUGUCGGAACAGAAACGGAACAGAACGACGGAAACUUUGAGUUACCUCGACAUUCUACCGUCAGAUUUCGUUGGAUUAUUUGAUGAAUUCAUCGCGAAAAGGGCUUGCGAAGCGAGGAUUCGACCGGUGUCGGUGAUGCGAGGGGGAAACCGUAAGAACGAGAGAGGCGGAGAAAUGUCAAUUUAUUCUGGCUUUGUUUACGAGCGAUACCUUGAGACACGAUGAGGGAGCGUCAACUGCAAUUGCGAAACAAGGGCACAAGGGGUGAACUCGAACAGCCGAGUGAGUCGGCGAGAUUCUGUUAAUCCGAGCAAAAGACCAGUCGACGACUCGGCUCUAAUCUUUUUGAUAGAGGGGGAAGGGGGAAGGGAGGAGACUCGGUUGGCUUUAAGUUACAUCGUGGAUGUCGGUAUGUCUCAAAGCGAGAGCGAGCCGAUGACAGAAUAUAUAUAAGAGUGGAUGGUUAAAGGUAUCUUCCACCUCUCGCAGAAACGGCGAUAAGAUGCGGGUAAACGAAGGUAAUGGUCUGGACUGGAGAAAGAGAGGUCGUCGUCGUGUCGUUCCUGUAUCGUCAACCGGGGCACAUCAGCCCGGGCGACAUUGUUGAUCGCCCUAAGCCGCGAGAGCUCUCGUAUUCGUAUAGAAAACGUGCGAAGAGCGAUAUAAUGUGACGCGCACGUUUGAAUUAGAACGUAUAAUAUUAAUUAUUUUCGUAAUUUUCAUUAA